CUUUGCUCAGGAGCCUUUCGUGCGGUCUGUGUCUCCCUUGCCACUCUUGCCCAGGUAGUCAUGGUUCCUAAUGCGGGGCUCUGCUCUGCCACUCAGUGGAUGCCCUUGACCCCUCCCCCCGCCGUGGCUUUUCCCAGAGCCCAUCCUCACACCUGCCUGAGCCCCUUUUCCGAGGGCACCUGUUUCCUGCCAGGACCUGGGCUGUGGUCCAUGAUCCCUCACUUCCUAUUGCGCAUUUGGAUGUGCUGUUGAGGGUCCUACGCCUACUCUUAACUUCUGCCUACAAUCAAACCCAAAGGUUAAAAGCUUUGAACUUUUCCUACUCUCAAAAUUGUACCAGCUAUUCAUAUAUUCGUCAGCCCAGUUUUUGGCAAAGGUGAUUUAAAUUUGCUGUUUAAAAGGUAUGCUGGAAGGUCCUGGAGAUUCAAGUGUGGGAAGGCAGUCCCGGCCCCCAUUGCUCGCCGAACAGCUUCCAGUCUGCACGGAAGCAUGCUGGGCGGAGCACACAGUGGUGGAGUCCAGGGUGGAGGCUGAUGGCCUGAUGGAAAC
rnacentral:lncRNA from 10 species